UAAGUUAAUAAGGGCGCACGGUGGAUGCCUUGGCACUAGGAGCCGACGAAGGACGUGACAAACGACGAUAUGCCUUGGGUAGCUGUAAGUAAGCGAUGAUCCAGGGAUUUCCGAAUGGGGGAACCCAACAGGUAAUACCUGUUACCUACAUCUGUUAAGGAUGUGAGGAGGAAGACGCAGUGAACUGAAACAUCUAAGUAGCUGCAGGAAGAGAAAGCAAAAGCGAUUGCCUUAGUAGCGGCGAGCGAAACGGCAGAAGGGCAAACCGAAGAGUUUACUCUUCGGGGUUGUAGGACUGCAAUGUGGACUCAAAGAUUAUAGAAGAAUGAUUUGGGAAGAUCAGCCAAAGAGAGUAAUAGCCUCGUAUUUAAAAUAGUCUUUGUACUUAGCAGUAUCCUGAGUACGGCGGGACACGUGAAAUACCCGUCGGAAUCUGGGAGGACCAUCUCCCAACCCUAAAUACUCCCUAGUGACCGAUAGUGAACCAGUACCGUGAGGGAAAGGUGAAAAGCACCCCGGGAGGGGAGUGAAAUAGAACCUGAAACCGUGUGCCUACAACAAGUUCGAGCCCGUUAAUGGGUGAGAGCGUGCCUUUUGUAGAAUGAACCGGCGAGUUACGUUAUGAUGCGAGGUUAAGUUGAAGAGACGGAGCCGUAGGGAAACCGAGUCUGAAUAGGGCGCCUUAGUAUCAUGACGUAGACCCGAAACCAUGUGACCUACCCAUGAGCAGGUUGAAGGUGCGGUAAGACGCACUGGAGGACCGAACCAGGGCACGUUGAAAAGUGCUUGGAUGACUUGUGGGUAGCGGAGAAAUUCCAAACGAACUUGGAGAUAGCUGGUUCUCUCCGAAAUAGCUUUAGGGCUAGCGUCGACAUUAGAGAUUCUUGGAGGUAGAGCACUGUUUGGGUGAGGGGUCCAUCCCGGAUUACCAAUCUCAGAUAAACUCCGAAUGCCAAUGAAUUAUGGUCGGCAGUCAGACUGCGAGUGCUAAGAUCCGUAGUCGAAAGGGAAACAGCCCAGACCACCAGCUAAGGUCCCAAAAUAAUUGUUAAGUGGAAAAGGAUGUGGGGUUGCACAGACAACUAGGAUGUUAGCUUAGAAGCAGCUAUUCAUUCAAAGAGUGCGUAAUAGCUCACUAGUCGAGUGACCCUGCGCCGAAAAUGUACCGGGGCUAAAACAAUUUACCGAAGCUGUGGAUACCUUUAUAGGUAUGGUAGGAGAGCGUUCUAUGUGUGAUGAAGGUAUACCGUGAGGAGUGCUGGAACGCAUAGAAGUGAGAAUGCCGGUAUGAGUAGCGAAAGACAGGUGAGAAUCCUGUCCACCGUAAGACUAAGGUUUCCAGGGGAAGGCUCGUCCGCCCUGGGUUAGUCGGGACCUAAGGAGAGACCGAAAGGUGUAUCCGAUGGACAACAGGUUGAUAUUCCUGUACUAGAGUAUGUAGUGAUGGAGGGACGCAGUAGGCUAACUAAAGCAGACGAUUGGAAGAGUCUGUCUAAGCAGUGAGGUGUGAAUUGAGUCAAAUGCUUAAUUCUAUAACAUUGAGCUGUGAUGGGGAGCGAAGUUUAGUAGCGAAGUUAGUGACGUCACACUGCCAAGAAAAGCUUCUAGCGUUUAAACAUACUCUACCCGUACCGCAAACCGACACAGGUAGUCGAGGCGAGUAGCCUCAGGUGAGCGAGAGAACUCUCGUUAAGGAACUCGGCAAAAUGACCCCGUAACUUCGGGAGAAGGGGUGCUGACUUAAAGUCAGCCGCAGUGAAUAGGCCCAAGCAACUGUUUAUCAAAAACACAGCUCUCUGCUAAAUCGUAAGAUGAUGUAUAGGGGGUGACGCCUGCCCGGUGCUGGAAGGUUAAGAGGAGUGCUUAGCGUAAGCGAAGGUAUGAAUUGAAGCCCCAGUAAACGGCGGCCGUAACUAUAACGGUCCUAAGGUAGCGAAAUUCCUUGUCGGGUAAGUUCCGACCCGCACGAAAGGCGUAAUGAUUUGGGCACUGUCUCAACGAGAGACUCGGUGAAAUUUUAGUACCUGUGAAGAUGCAGGUUACCCGCGACAGGACGGAAAGACCCCAUGGAGCUUUACUGCAGUUUGAUAUUGAGUGUCUGUACCACAUGUACAGGAUAGGUAGGAGUCUAAGAGAUCGGGACGCCAGUUUCGAAGGAGACGCUGUUGGGAUACUACCCUUGUGUUAUGGCCACUCUAACCCAGAUAGGUGAUCCCUAUCGGAGACAGUGUCUGACGGGCAGUUUGACUGGGGCGGUCGCCUCCUAAAAGGUAACGGAGGCGCCCAAAGGUUCCCUCAGAAUGGUUGGAAAUCAUUCGCAGAGUGUAAAGGUAUAAGGGAGCUUGACUGCGAGAGCUACAACUCGAGCAGGGACGAAAGUCGGGCUUAGUGAUCCGGUGGUUCCGUAUGGAAGGGCCAUCGCUCAACGGAUAAAAGCUACCCUGGGGAUAACAGGCUUAUCUCCCCCAAGAGUUCACAUCGACGGGGAGGUUUGGCAUCUCGAUGUCGGCUCGUCGCAUCCUGGGGCUGUAGUCGGUCCCAAGGGUUGGGCUGUUCGCCCAUUAAAGCGGCACGCGAGCUGGGUUCAGAACGUCGUGAGACAGUUCGGUCCCUAUCCGUCGCGGGCGUAGGAAAUUUGAGAGGAUCUGCUCCUAGUACGAGAGGACCAGAGUGGACUUACCGCUGGUGUACCAGUUGUCUUGCCAAAGGCAUCGCUGGGUAGCUAUGUAGGGAAGGGAUAAACGCUGAAAGCAUCUAAGUGUGAAACCCACCUCAAGAUGAGAUUUCCCAUGAUUAUAUAUCAGUAAGAGCCCUGAGAGAUGAUCAGGUAGAUAGGUUAGAAGUGGAAGUGUGGCGACACAUGUAGCGGACUAAUACUAAUAGCUCGAGGACUUAUCCA
rnacentral:rRNA from 1 species